rnacentral:lncRNA from 1 species
UUAAAAAGCAAAAACGAUAAAGGACAAAAGUCCACUCUGUGAUAAAAUUCAAUUUCUCGAAAAUCGUGCAUCAAAUCCAAAAUCCGUCAAUUCCAUUGGGUCCGGGAUAGUCAGACCAUCCAAAACGAGCUAUUGGAUCACUAUGCACGAAGUCCAAUACGCGUCAAAAGCCAUCUCACACACUGUCCUUUUCCAGAAACUAGUGUUACUAUUCACUUUAAGUGAAAAAUAAUAAUCGUAUAAAAGUUUUAUUUUAAUUCUUUUUUCGCUAUAGACAAAUUAUAAAUCUAUCAUUAUAAAAAAAAUUCACGUUCUAAUUAGUUGCACCCAGUACAAUAAAAUUUAUUUUUUAAAAAAGAUUCAAAUAGUAAACAACUAGAAUUAAAAAAUGAGUAAAAUAAAAAAAGAAUAAACAAAGAGACCAGAGUUUUCACUGGGAUGAAAAUAUACAGAGAUCCUUUAUUUAUAAGUCCAAUUGAAAUUGAAC